rnacentral:rRNA from 1 species
AUUGAACGCUGGCGGCAUGCCUUACACAUGCAAGUCGAACGGCAGCAUGAUCUAGCUUGCUAGAUUGAUGGCGAGUGGCGAACGGGUGAGUAAUACAUCGGAACGUGCCCUGUAGUGGGGGAUAACUAGUCGAAAGAUUAGCUAAUACCGCAUACGACCUGAGGGUGAAAGUGGGGGACCCAAGGCCUCAUGCUAUAGGAGCGGCCGAUGUCUGAUUAGCUAGUUGGUGAGGUAAAGGCUCACCAAGGCGACGAUCAGUAGCUGGUCUGAGAGGACGAUCAGCCACACUGGGACUGAGACACGGCCCAGACUCCUACGGGAGGCAGCAGUGGGGAAUUUUGGACAAUGGGCGAAAGCCUGAUCCAGCAAUGCCGCGUGUGUGAAGAAGGCCUUCGGGUUGUAAAGCACUUUUGUCCGGAAAGAAAUGGCUCUGGUUAAUACCUGGGGUCGAUGACGGUACCGGAAGAAUAAGGACCGGCUAACUACGUG